AUUGAGUACGGUGAGUGUAGAGAUAAAAUUUUUUGAUACCACUUAGGAACUGGUAACAGCGAAGGCUACCUUCAAUGUAAAAAACUGACGUUAAGGGACGAAGGCUUGUAACAAAUAAUAGGAUUAGAUACCCUAGUAUUUUGAGCAGAAAAUGAUGAGUGUCAUAUACAAGAGAAAUCUUUUGUGUAUAAAUGAAAGUGUAAGCACUCCACCUCAAGAGUAACGUGGCAACAUGGGAACUGAAAUCAUUAGACCGUUUCUGAAACUCGUAGUGAAGUAUGUUGUUUAAUUUGAUGGCCCUCAAAUAACCUUACCACAAUUUGUAUAACUAUUGUACGAUAGUUACAAGCGUUGCACGGCUGUCUUCAGUCAAUGUUGUGAAACUUUGGUUAGAUCCAUUUAAUUGACGUAAACCCUUACUUUAAUUAUUUUAAAGUAGUUCGCCGCUAUAUUGGUAGUGAUAUAAGGGACUAGGACAAGUCAUCAU
rnacentral:rRNA from 1 species